CACAGCGCGGUACACUGCAUCAUCGGAAGCAUCUUUCAUACUGUGCACUAUCAGAACCAUCUCUCUUACAGGGGAACACACUCAGAUGGAUGUCGACGUCGAGGAGGAAUAUAGGCAGCCAGCCAAUCCCUCAAUGAAGCUGCCCAGUGCAGGUAACUAUACAGAGACUCCUCUCUGUAGGACUCAGAAUAAAGGAGCCACUCUUCAAGGCGCUCAUCAAGGCACCUUUCAAGUUUUCCAAUGGUUGCAAUCCUGAUAAAAAUCAAAAGGUCCCAGUUGGACCGGCUGCUGGCCACCCCACUGGUGAGAAGAACCUAAUUGCUGGCUUAUUUUCUGUCUGCUUUCUCUGAUUGACUGAGAGACUGGAUUUCUGGAUGCUCAGCUGACUAGGCUCGGCUAUGAGACUGACUGACCUGCCGCAGUACGUUGCCAGCCUCUGAGCCGGCCGACGGACCUUAUUUUUCUCGUGUCGUGACUCACAGUUCUGCUAAUUCUACUCCUCCAGCUUCGCCAACCUAUUAUCUGAUCGACUUAACAGAUGGACAAUGAUCUUUUCAGAGGAUUUCAGUUUCUUUUUUCAGUUGUUUAUUUCUUCUGAAAGUCCUUUAAAAAACAACAAGUAGAUGAUCUUGAUUUGAGUCAUCCAUGGAAGCAUGUUGCAAAGCCUUUUAUCAAACAUUUUGACUAACACUGUGUUUGACAUUAAUAUACAGUUUGCAUUAAA